GUGAAAACCUACAGGAUGACAAAUCUCCAGAAACACGGUAACCAAUAAGUAAAGACGAAGACAGAAAAUUACCUUGAAAUAUGGGAAAAGAGAAUGCCAAGCAGAGCCAACAGCUGCAGACGGGCGGAAUGAAAACAAGGACGGACCAUUUCCGUUCCUUCCAUAAUCUUGGAUGUCCGUGUCGUACCUCCGGACACCAUGUUCUGGAACUGCAGGGCGUUUUCCUGCAUGCGGAAUUGCCUGGACUUGAGCUGCUCGGGCUCGCCCUCGGAGGUCAAGUCGCCGUCGACGACGGACUCCUGCCCCUGCGACACCUCGAACUCCGACAGGUAAUAGGCCAUGACGUUGUCCCGAUCAAGGUCUUCACUGGAAUGGGACAGGCA